rnacentral:rRNA from 1 species
AGAGUUUGAUCAUGGCUCAGGAUGAACGCUAGCGGCAGGCCUAAUACAUGCAAGUCGGACGGGAUUGUGGAGCUUGCUUCACAUGAGAGUGGCGCACGGGUGCGUAACACGUAUGUAACCUACCCAUAUCGGGGGGGAUAGCCUCUCGAAAGAGAGAUUAAGCCCGCAUAAAAUCACAGAACAGCAUUGUUUAAUGAUCAAAUAUUUAUAGGAUAUGGAUGGGCAUGCGGAACAUUAGCUAGUUGGUAAGGUAACGGCUUACCAAGGCUACGAUGUUUAGGGGAUCUGAGAGGAUGACCCCCCACACUGGUACUGAGACACGGACCAGACUCCUACGGGAGGCAGCAGUAAGGAAUAUUGGUCAAUGGGCGGAGGCCUGAACCAGCCAUGCCGCGUGCAGGAAGACGGCCCUACGGGUUGUAAACUGCUUUUAUACGGGAAUAAACCCACCUACGUGUAGGUGGCUGAAUGUACUGUAAGAAUAAGGAUCGGCUAACUCCGUGCCAGCAGCCGCGGUAAUACGGAGGAUCCAAGCGUUAUCCGGAUUUAUUGGGUUUAAAGGGUGCGUAGGCGGCCUGUUAAGUCAGGGGUGAAAGACGGUAGCUUAACUAUCGCAGUGCCCUUGAUACUGAUGGGCUUGAAUACACUAGAGGUAGGCGGAAUGUGACAAGUAGCGGUGAAAUGCAUAGAUAUGUCACAGAACACCAAUUGCGAAGGCAGCUUACUAUGGUGUCAUUGACGCUGAGGCACGAAAGCGUGGGGAUCAAACAGGAUUAGAUACCCUCGUAGUCC